ensembl:lncRNA
UGGGGAAGGGUCCUAAAGGGGAUGGGAUGGAUAUGGGGGGCAGUGAGGGGAUGGGGAAGGGGAAGGGUCCUCAAGAGGAUGGGGUGGGAGGAGGUUAUGGGGUGGGGAAGGGUCAGUCAAUGGUUGGGUUGGGUCCUAAAGGGGAUGGGAUGGAUAUGGGGGGCAGUGAGGGGAUGGGGAAGGGGAAGGGUCCUCAAGGGGAUGGGGUAGGAGGAGGUUAUGGGGUGGGGAAGGGUCCUCAAGGGGAUGGGGUGAGUAUGGGGGGCGAUGAGGGGAGGGGGAAGGGUGACGUCGGCCAACAGUUGGGUGAGGGGUUGGGGGUCCCCGUGGGGCCAAUUGGGGGCGAUAGUGAGGGGGGGGUUGAUGGGUUGGGGGCUGAGGGGGAUGGGAAGGGAUAUGGGGCGGGCGCCAUGUUGGGGACCAGGAAGGAUGUGGGGCCAGGUGAGGUGAGGGUGAAGGGCCUGGUGACGGCCAAGGGGUGGGGGGCUGGGAAGGGCCCCAAAGGGGGAUGGGGGGCAGAUGAGGGUCGUGGGGUGGUCAGGGAGAUGGUGAGGGGAUGGAAGGGGCAGGGGGCGGCCGAGGGGGCAACUAUGGCAACAAUGGAGGCCAAGAUGGAGGCCAAGAUGGAGGCCAAGAUGGCGCCAUCAACCAUGUCAUCACCAACUAUGGAACCAAUGGAGGCCAAGAUGGCGGCCAAGAUGGAGGCCAAGGUGCCACCAACCACCACGUCACUGUCGGCCAUGACACCUUCAACCACGUCCCCAAUGGAGGCCAAGAUGGAGGCCAAUAUGGCUGCCAAUAUGGCUGCCAAGAUGGAGGCCAAGAUGGCGGACAAGACGGAGGCCAAUAUGGCUGCCAAUAUGGCUGCCAAGCCGCCCCCACCCCCCGCAUCCCCGCCAUGUUCCGCCCCGCCCCCCCCGUCCCCACAUCCUCCUCCCGCCCCCCAAGUCGGUUCCGGGUUCUGCCCCACAUCCUCCCCACCCCAUGGGGGUCCCAUAGGGGCCGUGACCAUGCGCGGGGCCCCACGGCGAGACCCCACCCCGCCCCCCCUGACCCACCCGGCCCUACAGCGGCGCAGUGGGAACACCAUCACCGUCAGACCCCGACGGGGGGCGGCCAAUGAGGGGGGGGGGGCUGCGCCCCAUAACAACGACCCCCCGGCCCCACAAGUGACCCCAAAGAAGCGCUACCCCACGGCAGAGGAGAUCCAGGUCAUUGGGGGGUACCUGGCUCUGCCCCGAUCCUGCCUGGCCAAGAACGACCCCCAUAGGAAGAAGGUGAGUCAGUGCGGACCCCCACCCCAUAUUGGGACCCCCACCCCAUAUUGUGACCCCCACCCCAUAUCUGGGACCCCCACCCCAUAUCUGGGACCCCCACCCCAUAUUGUGCCCUCCACCCCAUAGGAAGAAGGUGAGUCAAUGAGGACCCCCACCCCAUAUUGGGACCCCCACCCCAUAUUGUGGGACCCCCAUCCCAUAUUGGGACCCCCACCCCAUAUCUGGGACCCCCAACCCCAUAUUGUGGGACCCCCACCCCAUAUUGGGACCCCCACCCCAUAUUGUGGGACCCCCACCCCAUAUUGGGACCCCCCAACCCUAUAUUGUGGGACCCCCAACCCUAUAUUGUGGGACCCCCACCCCAUAUUGUGACCCCCAUCCCAUAUUGGGACCCCCACCCCAUAUUGUGGGACCCCCACCCCAUAUUGGGACCCCCACCCCAUAUUGUGGGAGCCCCACCCCAUAUUGGGACCCCCACCCCAUAUUGUGGGAGCCCCACCCCAUAUCUGGGACCCCCACCCCAUAUUGGGACCCCCACUCCAUAUUGUGGGACCCCCACCCCAUAUUGGGACCCCUACCCCAUAUCUGGGACCCCCACCCCAUAUUGUGGGACCCCCACCCCAUAUUGGGACCCCCACCCCAUAUUGGGACCCCCACCCCAGAUUGGGACCCCCACCCCAUAGAGUGGGACCCCCAACCCCAUAUUGGGACCCCCAUCCCAUAUUGUGGGACCCCCACCCCAUAUUGUGGGACCCCCACCCCAUAUUGGGACCCCCAACCCAUAUUGGGACCCCCACCCCAUAUUGUGUGACCCCCACCCCAUAUUGGGACCCCCACCCCAUAUUGGGACCCCCAACCCUAUAUUGUGUCCCCCCAACCCCAUAUUGUGGGACCCCCACCCCAUACUGGGACCCCCAACCCCAUAUUGGGACCCCCACCCCAUAUCUGGGACCCCCACCCCAUAUUGUGGGAGCCCCACCCCAUAUCUGGGACCCCCACCCCAUAGAGUGGGACCCCCAACCCCAUAUUGUGGGACCCCCACCCCAUAUUGGGACCCCCACCCCAUAUGGUGACCCCCACCCCAUAUUGGGACCCCCACCCCAUAUCUGGGACCCCCAACCCCAUA